rnacentral:rRNA from 1 species
UACGUAGGAGGCAAGCGUUGUCCGGAAUUACUGGGCGUAAAAGAGCGCGUAGGUGGCGCUGUACGACUGGUGUGAAAGCCCCCGGCUCAACUGGGGAGGUCAUCGGUAACGGCAGUGCUUGAGUGCAGGAGAGGGACGUGGAACUCCGGGAGUAGCGGUGAAAUGCGUAGAGACCCGGAGGAACACCAGUGGCGAAGGCGGCGUCCUGGUCUGCAACUGACGCUGUGGCGCGACAGCGUGGGGAGCAAACAGG